rnacentral:rRNA from 1 species
AGAGUUUGAUCCUGGCUCAGGAUGAAUGCUGGCGGCAGGCCUAAUACAUGCAAGUCGAGGGGCAGCGAGUCGUAGCAAUACGAUGUCGGCGACCGGCAAACGGGUGCGGAACACGUAUAUAACUUACCCAUAGCUGGGGCAUAACAUUAAGAAAUUGAUGCUAAUUCCCCAUAGUAUUAUAGAGAGGCAUCUCUUUAUAAUUAAAGCCUUGGCGGCUAUGGAUAGAUGUGCGGCCGAUUAUGGUAGUUGGUGAGGUAAAGGCUCACCAAGCCUGCGAUCGGUAACUGGUGUGAGAGCACGACCAGUCACACGGGCACUGAGACACGGGCCCGACUCCUACGGGAGGCAGCAGUAAGGAAUAUUGGUCAAUGGACGCAAGUCUGAACCAGCCAUGCCGCGUGGAGGAUGAAGGUUCUCUGAAUUGUAAACUUCUUUUAUUUGGGAAGAAAUCCCUCUUUCUAGGGGUGUUGACGGUACCAAAUGAAUAAGCACCGGCUAACUCCGUGCCAGCAGCCGCGGUAAUACGGAGGGUGCAAGCAUUAUCCGGAUUUAUUGGGUUUAAAGGGUGCGUAGGUGGCUAGGUAAGUCAGUGGUGAAAUCCCCAAGCUUAACUUGGGAACUGCCAUUGAUACUAUCUAGCUUGAAUGUUGAGGAGGUGAGCAGAAUAUAUCAUGUAGCGGUGAAAUGCUCAGAUAUGAUAUAGAAUACCGAUUGCGAAGGCCGCUCACUACACAACUAUUGACACUGAGGCACGAAAGCGUGGGGAUCAAACAGGAUUAGAUACCCUGGUAGUCCACGCCCUAAACGAUGAAUACUCGACAUUAGCGAUAUACUGUUAGUGUCCAAGCGAAAGCGUUAAGUAUUCCACCUGGGGAGUACGAUCGCAAGGUUGAAACUCAAAGGAAUUGACGGA